AGGCUAACCUGCAUUUUGUGGCCAAGGCUAAUCUUAGGCUGGUUUCACACACACUAGCCUUUGUGCGCACGCGCAGUGCAGGGCAAGAUGGUGCCGGCCAUCGGAACAGCCGGUGGGGGUUUCCAACUGUGUUUAGAGCUCAGACUGCCAUGUUAACUUCUUCAAGCCAAAACUCUUCUCUUCGGCAUCUGCAGGCCAAACAUCUUGGCAUUUUUCCAGUGCCCUCCCAACCUCUACACAAUCUCCCCAUCUAUAGGCCUGAACUGUUAAAAUGCACCCUUGGUGUCUCGCACAGUAAAAUGGCAGCUUUCAACUGUUCCUUCUGUGACCAAUUCCGGAGGUAGACUGUUCCAUAAAUUCACAGUUCUUAUGGUAAAGAAGGCAUGUUGCCCCUUGAGACUAAACCUUUUCUUCUCCAGACGGAGGGAGACAGACAACGGACGAUUCCCCUCAGCUUUCACCCAAUUCUGAGCCUGGUGUCUCUGGUGUUGGUACUAAAAUGGUGAAAUUGAAGUCUAAGAAUUUCUCUCAGCGUGAAACAGAUGUUUUAGCAGAAGAG